rnacentral:rRNA from 1 species
UACGUAGGGUGCAGGCGUUAAUCGGAAUUACUGGGCGUAAAGCGCGCGCAGGCGGUUUGCUAAGUCAGGUGUGAAAUCCCCGGGCUUAACCUGGGAACUGCGCUUGUAACUGGCAAGCUUGAGUGUGGCAGAGGGGGGUGGAAUUCCACGUGUAGCAGUGAAAUGCGUAGAGAUGUGGAGGAACACCGAUGGCGAAGGCAGCCCCCUGGGCUAACACUGACGCUCAUGCACGAAAGCGUGGGGAGCAAACAGG